AUGGCCAGGUUUUGCUGCUUCGGCGCCGGUUGCUCAGAGUUGACAGGGCAUGCAUCAGCCACCUCUGGUAAAGGGAAAGGCUGUCAGGGUCAAGUCAAGGUUAGCUACGGGUUUAGCCUUGUAAGAGGAAAGACAAACCAUCCGAUGGAGGAUUUUCAUGUCGCAGAACUUGCUGAAGUGAAAGGAAACGAGCUUGGUCUUUUUGCUAUUUAUGAUGGUCAUUUAGGAGAUACUGUUCCUGCAUACCUACAGGAAAAUUUGUUUUCUAAUAUUUUGAACGAGGCAAAGUUUUGGACACAUCCAGACAGAGCAAUCACAAAGGCUUAUGAAAAGACGGACCAGGCUAUUCUGUCACAUACUCCAGAUUUGGGACAAGGUGGCUCCACUGCCGUAACUGCCAUCCUUAUAAACGGCAGUAAGUUGUGGGUAGCUAAUGUUGGGGAUUCGCGAGCUGUUCUUCUGAAAGGAGGUGAGGCCAUACAGAUGUCAAUUGACCACGACCCGAAUGCUGAGCGCGGCGCUAUUGAAAAUAAGGGUGGUUUUGUUUCAAAUAUGCCAGGAGAUGUUCCCAGAGUCUGUGGUCAGUUGGCCGUGUCCAGAGCGUUUGGGGACAGGAAUCUAAAAUCACUUUUGAAAUCAGAGCCUGAUGUGAAAGUUGAAGAUAUCGAUCACACUGCUGAGCUAGUUGUCCUUGCGAGCGAUGGAGUUUGGAAGGUAAUGAACAAUCAGGAAGCCGUUGAUGUGGUGAAAAGGUACAAGGACCCACAAACAGCUGCCAAGCAAUUAGUCGCCGAAGCAGUGAAAAGAGACAGUAAAGAUGAUAUAUCAUGCGUGGUCGUUAGGUUCAAGAUGUAA
rnacentral:rRNA from 1 species